rnacentral:rRNA from 1 species
UACGGAGGGGGCAAGCGUUGUUCGGAAUUACUGGGCGUAAAGCGAGCGUAGGCGGCUGGGUAAGUCAGAUGUGAAAGCCCUCGGCUCAACCGGGGAACUGCGUCUGAUACUGCCUGGCUUGAGUCCGGUAGGGGGUAGCGGAAUUCCUGGUGUAGCGGUGGAAUGCGUAGAUAUCGGGAGGAAUACCGAUGGCGAAGGCGGCUACCUGGGCCGGUACUGACGCUGAGGCGGGAAAGCUAGGGGAGCAAACAGG